UAUUAAGGCAACACGUAUCUAUCGCCAGCCUGCUAACCAGCGGAGUGUAGCUGCUUAAACUUAAACUAAACUUCGUAGGAGCGAAAAAAGGCUGUUAAAUUGGCCGUAAUCUUUCUGUUUAGGAGGCUUCUCUUUGUUUGCUGUGGUCUUCUUUCGUUAACGUAACGUAGUUAGGUUUCUUUACUGCCUCUCUCGGUUUGGGCUCCCCCUCUCCUUUUUUUGUCAGUUUGAAGGCACAUCAAAUGGCGACGAACUGUUAACGUCCCCGGGUUAGCCUAUUAUUUCGACGCGGAGGAGAAGUGUAAUCUCAGGGACGGCGUGCAGAAGAAACUCGUUGGCCGCAGGGCAAAGCUCCGUCAUAUCUUAUCCAGCCUGCUGUAAUCUUUUGCAGAAGUUAAAGCCAUUAAAACGGAAAGGUAGGCUCUGCCUGCGGUCUGGGACUCUUGUGUAACGGUCGCUGUGAAUCCCUCAGUUCACCUCAUUUGAACUUGUGUGAUCUAGUUCACUAAAACGGCGCGGCGCUGUCACUCCGGCUCUGAGCGAGAGAAGCUGCCUCUCGGGUACAGAAAAACUGGAAAUGGAGGCUUUUUCGGUGCUUAGAGCACAGAGCUUAAAAGACGACAUUUUCGUGGACGGUACCGAAACCAGUCGCAGCGGCGGGGAAACGACGGUUAGCUAGCCGCCGACUAGCCGCCUCUCCUCGGUCUCGCUUCGGCUUUGCCCUGGCGCUGCUGCUGCUGCUGCUUUACAAAAGUAACCGGGGGACGGGAAUUCAAUUCACCGUGAAGAAUGACAUCUUUUCCACCGCCUGUGGACUGGGGGACGUACUUGAACUUGAACUAGAACACUGUGAGCUAACUUAAAGCCGUUAACACCGAGGCUAGCCACUUUUUCUUACGUUUGUAGCUGAUUUUGUAUCUCACACACGGACUCGGGCACGGCUGUAGCUGCUAAAUAAACCACCAUAAACAACGAAGCGCAACACACCACCAAUGGUGCUUAAAAUGGCGAAAACUUGUUCACACAGUCCCUGAUUCACCUGGGUUCUUUCAAACAGCUUUUCAAUCAGACUUCCCACAGAAUUUUGAAGAUGAAAGGAGAGUCUUAUUCUUGACAGGAUGAUACAGAGGCUGACCCCAGAGUUCACAGCUGUAAUUGAGAAGUCUCACAGGCACGUGCACACGGGGGCCCAGGAGAGACCACCGCCGCCGCAGUGAGGCCGCUACCUCUCCAGAAAGAGGCAGUGAAAGAUGGCCUGCAGAGAAGCAAUGGUUGUUUUGUACACAAAAGCAUGGCCCUGAUGAAGAGGAGCUCUGAUGUGAGGUGGUAUUUUUAUAGCAUUAACGAGGACACCUCAGAAAACUGAGAUUUUGUUCACAUUAUUUCAUUGUAUUCUCAAGAAAAUAACAAUGAAGUGUGAGAAAAGUGCUUUUUUCCAAUGUGAAAUUUGUCACAUAUGAUACUCAUUAUUUGAUGUGUAUUAAGCUAUGUACAAAUCUCAUAACAAUUACUCAAUUUAAGUAUGAUGUCAGUUUUAUUUAUCAGUAUAUCACAAUGAAUUAAUGCCGUUUUUAAUGCGCUUUAUUAAGUGCGUAUAUUGUAGCUGUCCAAUGAAAAACAAGUAGCUCUUCUUGACUAUUUUUACAACAUAAUUUGAACACACACUGUUCCUUACACUGUGUAAAAAUAUUUCUAAAUGAAUGGACCAAGAGAAAUUCUCCAGAAUGACCUGAAAUUAUUUAUUUGUUACAUUAAAAGCUAAGAAGGUUCGAUCUUCCUUUUGUAAAAUUUCUAUUUUGGAGAUAUGUUUUUCAUUGGACAGUGAGAAUAUGUGCAUCCCGGUUUUGCAGGACAUGUAGCGUUGUAAACAUCUCAUUAUAUAUGCCACACAUACACUAAAUAAUUCUUUAAAGUGAAAACGUCACAGUGUAUAAAUGUGUAUUUACACUAUUUAUGCAGUGUACUGUACAUGUGGUACUGUACAAUUAGAAUAUAACAUCUUGUCGUUUGUGCAUUGCCACACUUCGUUAUGUAGUAUACUGAACAUGUAGCUCUGUUAAAAUGCUUGUCUGUUUUCUGACAUAUGAAGUUGAAGAACGGAAGCUUUUAUCCAGCAGGAGAGAGACACAGUCCUUUGGGGUGAGGUAGUAGGUUGUAUAGUUUUAGGGUUGAGCCCUUGCUGUGAGAUAACUAUACAACUUACUGUCUUUCCUGAAGUGGCCGUAAUCCCAUCAAUCAAGACAACCCGGGCCAGUGAAGAGCCUCAACACAAAAGCGUAAAGAAUUUAGUGAAUGUCAUGCUGGUAGCUGCAGGUACACUUCAAAAAACGGCUCCAAAAAGGAUUCUUUGGAGCGAUGCCAUCAGAUAAUCGUCAAAGGGUAUUCUUUUGAACAGUAUUUUUUGAAAAUGACAUGUAAAAGCAUGAAAAAACUUAAAGUAACAUAGCUUGAGGGUUUUAUACCAAUUACGUUUUCACUAUUACUAGAUAUUUAUGGCAAACAAAACAUUUUGGAAACCAUAAUGUGUGUGUAUGAAUACAUUAGGAUUUCUUCUUAUAUGGAACAUAAUACAGUAAUGGCAAACAAACUAAACAAGCUGAAUAUUCUGCAUCAUGUUGAAUGAGUGGUCUAGUCUCUGCACUCUAAAAAACAGAGGUACGAUAUGAGUACUUUUUUGUACUCAGAGGUACACUCUUCAUGAUUGUACCCUCAAAGGUACAAUAUUGGUCUUUACAGGGUCAAAUUUGUUUCCUCUGAAG